UGGCGGUCUUCUUGAAUUGUCUUCGCAAAGAAAAUUUCCUCUGCCAGUUAAAAUGUGAUUAAUCUGUAUCCCAAACUAGAAAUAAUUACGGCGUCGGCGUUGAAACUUCUCUUCAUCAAAUGAGGUCUUCUCAAAAUUUUCUGAGCUACAACAGUCGCUGUUGAUACAUGUAAACAAAGCUUCCUCGAUCUGAACGGUGUUGCGAUGACAGGGACUGUGAGGCACUGUGAGACAGGGACUGUGAGACUGACAUGCUGAUCAAGGGAUAGUGAAACUCCAACCUUACGAAGGGCUCCCAAGGAAUUGACGAAUGUACAAAAUGUGGUAACACUGGGUUCUUGUUCGUGCCCGUUUUUACUACUGGGCCUAAAAUGAAUUUAUUCCGUUUUCCGACUUACAACAAUUGGCUUAAGUGAAUCCAACCGAGUUUAAACUAGAAUUUCAGAGUUUGAUCCAUAAACGCAACGAAAACAUACACACCAAAAUGCUCCGACCGAGUAAAAUCACAUCAUGUGAUUACGUUAUUAACCCUUUAACUCCCAGAUUAAAUUUGUAAUUCUCCUUAGUGUCAAACAUACAAUUCUUACAAUAAUAGUUCAGAGAAUUUAGUAUUGGAUCAACUAAUUAUCCCCAAAUUGAUCUUUUUCUUUAUUCUCAUCACUUAUCUAGUUGAUAUUGUAUUGAUAUUGUAAGGAGAAAUUCUGUUUUGGUCACUCAUGGGAGUUAAAGGGUUAACAAUUAACAAGUCAGUGUCAACCAAGGGAGGUUCCCUGAAUUCCGCAAAGGGCCUAAAAGUAUUAUGUUACACUAAGGUCUUCGUUACAUACCGAUUCCUUAUACGGGGCUCCCACUCAAAAACUACGUUAUUAAUUUUUUGCUAGAAGCAAGCAAUUAAAAUUCUAGUUACUUCUUGGUUCAUGAUAAUCUCUUUGUUGGUUUGCUCUGUUACCGAACCGAAUAUUUCGCAAAUUACUUUCAGUUAAGGUGGUUUUUGCAAGAAGCAGAAGAAAAACCUUGAAUUAUCGUGACUGACCAAAAGAAGUAGUUAAUCUUGAGAAUUAACUGAUAUAAAUCACUUAAUACAAACUAUGUACUCUACGUAUUUUUAUCCAAUUAUCGCUAUUGAA